rnacentral:tRNA from 1 species
GGCCCCGUAGCUCAGCUGGAUAGAGCAACGGCCUUCUAAGCCGUAGGCCCUAGGUUCGAAUCCUAGCGGGGUCA